rnacentral:tRNA from 1 species
GUCGGGAUAGGAAAGCUGG